GGCAAAGCCAUGGCAGAGAUAGGCGAGUGACAAGUUGGAACGAGGGCUGCGUGGAUAGAGCGAAGCUGCAUUUGAAGGACUUUUGAUGCCAGUCUGAGGGACGGUGGGGAAGCACGAGCCAAAGCCAGACGUCCGAUCUCAGAUUUUAAUUGGUACUUUUUAAAGAUGUGAAUACACCUAUAACCUCAUUAUAACUUGUUCAGCUACAUAUUUACAAAGUUUGCUGAAGAGUGGUUCACUUUCUGGAAAGAAGAUGUCAGGGUGAUCAAAUCAGCUACAAAAUCAGUUGCACUCUUGCCAACCUGCAAAACCAAUUUUCUCCCUUCCGUCAAAGCGAAUUGGAGAACUAGAAAUGAGUAUGUUCACAAGAAGCCAGGGACCAGGGAUGGGAUGCCGGUUGAUACCGUCUGUCUUGCAGAACUGAUGUCAGAUGUGAGUUAACAGAUCCUUCUGGCUUAAUGGCCUGUGAGGAAGGAGGCUCUCCCCUGUCAGCACCACUUGGAAAUAACCCGGGAAGAAUUCUGGUUGGCCUCGCCCGGGCUCGGUGGCUGGGGAGGGGGUGGGAGCAGUUACCAGCAGAAGAGAAGUGGGGGUAGCAGGGCCUGGACCACUGGAGACGUUAGUACCCUGAUUCGUGUCUACCACACCUACGGUGUCACCUGACCUUCCCACCCCACAGUGAGUCUCCAGCAUGUGUCACUUAACCCUGUCUGUUAACAGGCACAGGCUAAUCGAUGUUCCUAUGAAAAAUAGGAGAAUAACUCUCUGUUACUAAAUCCCAGAGA